CGGAGUGUAGCGCAGCCUGGUAGCGCGUACCGUUUGGGGCGGUAAGGGCGUCAGUUCGAUCCUGACCACUCCGACCA
rnacentral:tRNA from 1 species